rnacentral:lncRNA from 1 species
CUUUUAGAAAGGAGUGUGAGAGAAGAGCGCUCAGAUUUGAAAGAAAUGCUUAGCAGAUGUGUCUGUAUAUGGCAGUAUAACAAUGUGAUGCACCUUCGUAAUGAAGUCUGGACUUCUUCCAAAAAGGAAAGUGAUAUAAUCCUUCUGGUGAACUGUGAAAUCCUACAUUUGCACAGUGUCUUACCCAGCUGGAAAUGAGCAUUCCUCAUGCACAGAUUUUGUUAGAGGUCUGAGGGAAAGGGAUAUGUUGGGAGAUUCAAUGCCAACUUUAGCAGCAAGUUAAUUACUAGCUCUAAAAUAUUUCUGCAGUUUUUGUUGUUGUUGUUGUUGUUUUGUUUUUGUUUUUGGCUGGGGGAAAAAUUUUCUAGUCACAUACCCCAAAGCAAUUCAUACUUUACAUUCCGUUGUUCUCACUAUUGACAUGCUUUUGUCGGCUUCUGUAAACAUUCCUUAAAGAUUUAGUGGUGGCGUUGGCAGCAUCUGUUUAAUUAUACAAAUCAGUAGUGCAAGUGACUUACUUGUGGUCACCAUGCUUUUCAUUACUUAUCCUGUAAUGAUGGGAAAAUUUGUGAACAUAAAAAAAUUAGCUCUUUUAAAAAAGGCAUAUGUAAUAUGUCUUAUACCUUUACAUUUGUAAGACUGUUUUUGUGGGAUAGUAAUUUUUAAGAUGUUUUCUGUAAAAAAAAAUGGGAAUGGGGUUGUGAAUUAUAUCACAGUGCUUAUCUAGAUAUUGCAUAUGUAGUAGAAAUAAUAAGGCAUUGGUUUUGGAUUUAAAUGAACCAAUAACUAAUGAUGUAAAACAAAAAGAAGCCACACACCUUUCAUAGUGCAGGAGGCAUCCUAUUGACGGUAUCACAGUAACCAUGCAAAUAUGAUUUUCCAGGGAAUUUUUACCAGUAUCCCUGGACACCAGUGUUUUCAGAAAAAUGAUGAUAACUCUCCUUGGAUAUGUUUUCUUUCAAACCUCGAUCACAGUGUUGAGCAGCAACUAAUAAAUAUGGGUCUAAAGCUUCUCAUGGUUUUUUAAGGACUAUAGACUAUGGUGAUGAAAGAUUACCCUCUGUGAAUU